rnacentral:rRNA from 1 species
GACGUAGGAUGCAAGCGUUGUCCGGAUUCAUUGGGCGUAAAGCGUUCGUAGGUGGCAUAUUAAGUCUGGUGUUAAAGCCCGGGGCUCAACUCCGGUUCGGCACUGGAUACUGAUAAGCUAGAGUGCAGUAGAGGCAAGGGGAAUUCCCAGUGUAGCGGUGAAAUGCGUAGAUAUUGGGAGGAACACCGGUGGCGUAAGCGCCUUGCUGGGCUGUUACUGACGCUGAGGAACGAAAGCCAGGGGAG